rnacentral:tRNA from 1 species
GGAGAGAUGGCCUAGCGGUUCAAGGCGUAGCAUUGGAACUGCUAUGUAGACUUUUGUUUACCGAUGGUUCGAAUCCCUCUCUUUACG